GCAACGGUGGUAGAACUCUUGCCUUGCAUGCAGGAGACCAGGGUUUGAUUCCCUGCCAAUGUG
rnacentral:tRNA from 1 species